rnacentral:rRNA from 1 species
CGUCAAAUCAGCACGGCCCUUACGUCCGGGGCGACACACGUGUUACAAUGGGAGGUACAAAGGGCCGCUACACAGCGAUGUGAUGCCAAUCUCCAAAACCUCUCCCAGUUCGGAUUGGAGUCUGCAACCCGACUCCAUGAAGCUGGAUUCGCUAGUAAUCGCGCAUCAGCCAUGGCGCGGUGAAUACGUUCCCGGGCCUU